rnacentral:rRNA from 1 species
AUGGUUGUCGUCAGCUCGUGCCGUGAGGUGUCGGGUUAAGUCCCAUAACGAGCGCAACCCUUACCGUUAGUUACCAUCAGGUUAAGCUGGGGACUCUAGCGGGACUGCCACCGUAAGGUGAGAGGAAGGUGGGGAUGACGUCAAAUCAGCACGGCCCUUAUGUCCAGGGCUACACACGUGUUACAAUGGCCGGUACAAAGGGCAGCUACUUCGCGAGAAGAUGCUAAUCUCGAAAGCCGGUCUCAGUUCGGAUCGAAGUCUGCAACCCGACUUCGUGAAGCUGGAUUCGCUAGUAAUCGCGCAUCAGCCAUGGCGCGGUGAAUACGUUCCCGGGCCUU